rnacentral:lncRNA from 1 species
AAGAUCACUCCGCGACACACACGAUGCAGCGCUGUGGUUCAUCAGAAGAUGAUGCGCUGUCUGCCUCUGACUUGUCAUUCCCACUCGCCAUCACUCACCGCUGUCAUCAAAUGGACUCAUGCUAGCGACAAGUUCUGACUGAGCUCAAUCGUCAUGAAACGCCAAUACACCGAUGAGUUUCUCUCUUUCAUACAAACUUAUAACGAGGAGCGCCCACAAUGUGUUUUGUGCGGGGAAGUGCUUACUAAUGAGUCUCUCAUAACGAACAAAUGAAUAAAACGACACGUCCUGACCAAACAUCCACAACAUGGUGGUAAACCCAGAGUUUUUUUCAGAACAGGACAGAAUGCUUCAGGAAACAUUGCUUCAACAGUGGAAAAGUAAGUCAUCUAGCAAGGAAUUAUUGUCAUUUUUUAACAGGUGAUGAUAAGCAGAAAUAAGGGAGCACUAACUAACUCUCAUAGUAGUAGAUAUGAGUUUCUCUUUCAAACAAUCCCCUGGCCUUGUACACAAUUAAUAGGUAACAUUCACCAAAGCCAGCUAGCUACUGAUGUGCAACCCUAGUAACAGUACAGUUGAAGAUGAAAAAUGAUCAGGCCUACUGUACGUCUUACUGUAGAAAUGAUCAGGCCCACUGUACAUCUUACUGUAGAAAUGAUCAGGCCCACUGUACAUCUUACUGUAGAAAUGAUCAGGCCUACUGUACAUCUUGCUGUAGAAAGGAUCAGGCCUACUCUACAUCUUACUGUAGAAAUUAUUGUUGAAAACUAGUCUAGAUUGGAACUGUUGCUGUUAAAAUACAAUAAUAAUUAGUAUUCUUAACUGGAAUAAACUGAUGGAAGCAAGAUGCUUUUUGAGGUAAACACACUCACACAGUUCUGGGUUGUUCAUCUACAGCAGGAAGUGGUCUCCCACCUGACUGAGAAAGCAGUAGAUGUUCUGGUCCAGUUUGCACCACAUACCUAUGUUAGUCAGGGUGUUCAACUCUGACAUACUUAAAUGUACAG